rnacentral:tRNA from 1 species
GCCCGGGUGGCGAAAUCGGUAGACGCAGGGGACUCAAAAUCCCCCGCCGAAAGGCGUGCCGGUUCGAGUCCGGCCCCGGGCACCA